rnacentral:rRNA from 1 species
AUGAACGCUGGCGGCGUGCCUAAUACAUGCAAGUCGAGCGAACAGACGAGGAGCUUGCUCCUCUGACGUUAGCGGCGGACGGGUGAGUAACACGUGGAUAACCUACCUAUAAGACUGGGAUAACUUCGGGAAACCGGAGCUAAUACCGGAUAAUAUAUUGAACCGCAUGGUUCAAUAGUGAAAGACGGUUUUGCCGUCACUUAUAGAUGGAUCCGCGCCGCAUUAGCUAGUUGGUAAGGUAACGGCUUACCAAGGCAACGAUGCGUAGCCGACCUGAGAGGGUGAUCGGCCACACUGGAACUGAGACACGGUCCAGACUCCUACGGGAGGCAGCAGUAGGGAAUCUUCCGCAAUGGGCGAAAGCCUGACGGAGCAACGCCGCGUGAGUGAUGAAGGUCUUCGGAUCGUAAAACUCUGUUAUUAGGGAAGAACAAAUGUGUAAGUAACUAUGCACGUCUUGACGGUACCUAAUCAGAAAGCCACGGCUAACUACGU